GCAUAACAGAUAGCAGAAGUCACAAAGUUUAACACAAUGGACUGCAGGACGGGGCUGCUGCUAUUAGCAAUCUGCUGGGCAGGUAUUGAUGGUCAGACUCUGACACAGUCUGAACCCGUUGUUAAAAAACCUGGAGAGUCUCAAAAACUCACCUGUACCACCUCUGGACUCUCAUUUAGUAGCUGGUGGAUGGCCUGGAUCAGACAGGCUCCUGGGAAAGGACUGGAGUGGAUUGCAACUGAGGCUAAUGGAGGCACCAACUACUACUCUCAGUCAGUACGAGGCAGGUUUACUGCCUCCAGAGACAACAGCAGAGAACAGCUGUUUUUGCAGAUGAACAACUUGAAGACUGAAGAUUCUGCUGUGUAUUAUUGUGCUCGAGACUCACAGUGACUGGAACUAGUUGAACAGCUGAACAAAAUCCUCCAGUGA